UUAUUAAUAUGUCAGAAUAAAUGAAAUGAACUUAAAAUUCAUAAAUAAAAAUA
rnacentral:tRNA from 1 species